rnacentral:rRNA from 1 species
CCUACGGGAGGCAGCAGUGAGGAAUAUUGGUCAAUGGGCGCGAGCCUGAACCAGCCAAGUAGCGUGAAGGAUGACUGCCCUACGGGUUGUAAACUUCUUUUAUAAAGGAAUAAAGUGAGGCACGUGUGCCUUUUUGUAUGUACUUUAUGAAUAAGGAUCGGCUAACUCCGUGCCAGCAGCCGCGGUAAUACGGAGGAUCCGAGCGUUAUCCGGAUUUAUUGGGUUUAAAGGGAGCGUAGAUGGGUUGUUAAGUCAGUUGUGAAAGUUUGCGGCUCAACCGUAAAAUUGCAAUUGAUACUGGCAGGCUUGAGUACAGUUGAGGGAGGCGGAAUGCGGGGUGUAGCGGUGAAAUGCAUAGAUAUCGCGAAGAACCCCGAUUGCGAAGGCAGCGUACCGUGCUGCAACUGACGCUGAGGCUCGAAAGCGCGGGGAUCGAACAGGAUUAGAUACCCUUGUAGUC